CACAGUGUCUGCAGGGGGGGAGUCCGCCUCGCUGGAGAUAGGGUGAAGUGGCAUUUCGAGUGACUGGCAUCGGGAAAAGUGAGAAAGACACAAUUUCGGAGGCUUCUUGAAGUCCACAGGAAAAAAAAGAAGAUGGCAAAGAGAGGCAAAGCACAUGAGAUAUAAUAUCAAGGUGCAAUAUUCAAAGUACAAGUUCCCAGCACAACAGAUGUUGCUUGACAGCCAGAACCAUUAUUUGAACAACCCCACUUGGAACCAGUGAUAAGGUUGCACAAUUGAUCCCCAA